rnacentral:rRNA from 1 species
UUUUAUUUGAGAGUUUGAUCCUGGCUCAGGAUGAACGCUGGCGGCGUGCCUAACACAUGCAAGUUGAGCGAUUUACUUCGGUAAAGAGCGGCGGACGGGUGAGUAACGCGUGGGUAACCUACCCUGUACACACGGAUAACAUACCGAAAGGUAUGCUAAUACGGGAUAAUAUAUUUGAGAGGCAUCUCUUGAAUAUCAAAGGUGAGCCAGUACAGGAUGGACCCGCGUCUGAUUAGCUAGUUGGUAAGGUAACGGCUUACCAAGGCGACGAUCAGUAGCCGACCUGAGAGGGUGAUCGGCCACAUUGGAACUGAGACACGGUCCAAACUCCUACGGGAGGCAGCAGUGGGGAAUAUUGCACAAUGGGCGAAAGCCUGAUGCAGCAACGCCGCGUGAGUGAUGAAGGCCUUCGGGUCGUAAAACUCUGUCCUCAAGGAAGAUAAUGACGGUACUUGAG